GUGGGGAAUAUUGCACAAUGGGCGCAAGCCUGAUGCAGCAACGCCGCGUGCGGGAUGACGGCCUUCGGGUUGUAAACCGCUUUCAGCAGGGACGAAGCGAAAGUGACGGUACCUGCAAAAGAAGCACCGGCUAACUACGUGCCAGCAGCCGCGGUGAUACGUAGGGUGCGAGCGUUGGCCGGAUUUAUUGGGCGUAAAGAGCUUGUAGGCGGUCAGUCGCGUCGUAAGUGCACACUCAGGGCUUAACCCUGAGCCUGCUUUCGAUACGGGCCGACUAGAGGAAGGUAGGGGAGAAUGGAAUUCCGGGUGGAGCGGUGGAAUGCGCAGAUAUCGGGAGGAACACCAGUGGCGAAGGCGGUUCUCUGGACCUUUCCUGACGCUGAGAAGCGAAAGCGUGGGGAGCAAACAGGCUUAGAUACCCCUGUAGUCC
rnacentral:rRNA from 1 species